UGAAAAUCAAUGAUGGGGCAAAAGUAAUUAGAACCUGUAUUCACAGAGAGCCGGUAAUGCUGGAAGCCGGUAAUACAACUAGUUGCGACAUCACCCCGGAGUGGAUUGCUGAAAUUAUAGUAGGCAAUCCCGGGCGUAGAGAAAUCGGCGCUCGUUAUAUAAAGAAUAGACCUAGUCUAUUCAUGAGGCGGCUAGAUUGCUGCGAACAAGGGUGGUACCAUGAAAAGUUUUUUCAUCCCUAUG
rnacentral:ncRNA from 1 species